UGCGAUACUUGGUGUGAAUUGCAGAAUCCCGUGAACCAUCGAGUCUUUGAACGCAAGUUGCGCCCGAGGCCACUCGGCCGAGGGCACGCCUGCCUGGGCGUCACGCCACCCAUCGCCCCCCUCGCGGCAUUCCCAUGCCCUGCCGGGGGGGCGGAGACUGGCCGCCCGUGCCCGAGUCCUCGGCGCGCGGUCGGCGGAAAAGGGAGGGCACCGUGCGGCGCGGCAAAGCGUGUGGGGGUUGAGAGGCGAGCCAUCGCCGAUCGUGCGUCGCGCCGGCAUCCCGCCGCGCGCAGUGCCUUCUUCGGGCCCCGGCUCGCCCGCGGCUGCGGGCUCUCGGACCGCGACCCCAGG
rnacentral:rRNA from 1 species